UACGGAGGGUCCGAGCGUUAUCCGGAUUUAUUGGGUUUAAAGGGUGCGUAGGCGGCCUGUUAAGUCAGGGGUGAAGGACGGUAGCUCAACUAUCGCAGUGCCCUUGAUACUGAUGGGCUUGAAUGUACUAGAGGUAGGCGGAAUGUGACAAGUAGCGGUGAAAUGCAUAGAUAUGUCACAGAACACCAAUUGCGAAGGCAGCUUACUAUGGUAUAAUUGACGCUGAGGCACGAAAGCGUGGGGAGCAAACAGG
rnacentral:rRNA from 1 species